AUUACCCAAUACGGACACCGUGAGGUAGUGACAAGAAAUAACAAUACGGGGCUUAAUGUCUUGUAAUUGGAAUGAUGGGAAUUUAAACCUCUUCCAGAGUAUCAAUUGGAGGGCAAGUCUGGUGCCAGCAGCCGCGGUAAUUCCAGCUCCAAUAGCGUAUAUUAAAUUUGUUGCAGUUAAAAAGCUCGUAGUUGAAUUUCUGCUGCAUUACAUUUCUCUUGUUUGAGUUUGUUAUUGUGGCUUAUUUCGGAUUGAUUUUUAUCAUUCCGGAUGAUUACUUUGAGAAAAUUAGAGUGCUCAAAGCAGGCUUUUGCCUUGAAUAGUUUAGCAUGGAAUAAUAGAGUAGGACUUUGGUUCUAUUUUGUUGGUUUUAGGUACCAAAGUAAUGGUUAAUAGGAACAGUUGGGGGCAUUCGUAUUUAA
rnacentral:rRNA from 1 species